rnacentral:lncRNA from 1 species
ACAACUACUACAACUACAACAACAACGAAGACGACGACGACAACACCAACAAGAACAACAGCAAAAACAAAAAGAACAACAACAGCAACAACAACAACAACAACAACAACAACAACAACAACAACAACAACAACGACAACAACAACAACAACAACAACAACAACAAGAACAAUUGCAAACCAACAAGAACACCAACGGCGACAAGGACGGCGACGACGACGACGACGACAAUGAAGACG